rnacentral:misc_RNA from 1 species
AUAAGUUUGACUUUUCGUCUUGAUGAUCACUUUGGGCAAGGGUAGUAUUACAUUGUGCGUUUAACGCACUAGGAGGCAACAAAAAUGGAACAAGGUUCAGUAAAAUGGUUUAACGCAGAAAAAGGUUUUGGAUUUAUCGAACGUGAAAAUGGAGACGACGUAUUCGUACACUUCUCUGCUAUCCAAAGUGAAGGUUUUAAAUCAUUAGACGAAGGUCAAAAAGUAACAUUUGAAGUGGAACAAGGUCAACGCGGACCACAAGCUACAAAUGUAGAAAAAGCUUAAUCUUAAAUGAUAUAAAAAAACAGGCUCUUCUAAAGGGCCUGUUUUUUUU